rnacentral:rRNA from 1 species
GACGAACGCUGGCGGCGUGCUUAACACAUGCAAGUCGAGCGGUAAGGCCCUUUCGGGGUACGACGAGCGGCGAACGGGUAGAGUAACAACGUGGGUGGACCUCGCCCUCCAGCUCUGGGAGUAAGCCUCGGGAAACCGGGUACGUAAUACUGGAGUAUGACUCCAUGACGCAUGUUGUGGGGUGGAAAGCCUUGUGCGGCUGAGGAUGGGCCCGCGGCCUAUCAGCUUGUUGGU